rnacentral:rRNA from 1 species
GCUGGCGGCACGCCUAACACAUGCAAGUCGAACGAAGUAGCAAUACUUAGUGGCAGACGGGUGAGUAACAUGUAGGUAUCUGCCCUUUGGCCUGGAAUAACACGAGGAAACUUGUGCUAAUACCGGAUAAGUCUUUACGGAGAAAGCUUUAUGCACCAUUGGAUGAGCCUGCACUUGAUUAGUUUGUUGGUGGGGUAAUGGCCUACCAAGACUGUGAUCAAUAGCUGAUUUGAGAGGAUGAUCAGCCACAUUGGGACUGAGACACGGCCCAAACUCCUACGGGAGGCAGCAGUGGGGAAUCUUGCACAAUGGAGGAAACUCUGAUGCAGCGAUGCCGCGUGAGUGAAGAAGGCCCUUGGGUUGUAAAGCUCUUUCGUCGGGGAAGAAAAUGACUGUACCCGAAUAAGAAGGUCCGGCUAACUUCGUGCCAGCAGCCGCGGUAAUACGAAGGGACCUAGCGUAGUUCGGAAUUACUGGGCUUAAAGAGUUCGUAGGUGGUUGAAAUAGUUGGUGGUGAAAUCCCAGAGCUUAACUCUGGAACUGCCAUCAAAACUUUUCAGCUAGAGUAUGAUAGAGGAAAGCAGAAUUUCUAGUGUAGAGGUGAAAUUCGUAGAUAUUAGAAAGAAUACCAAUUGCGAAGGCAGCUUUCUGGAUCAUUACUGACACUGAGGAACGAAAGCAUGGGUAGCGAAGAGGAUUA